rfam:Anopheles funestus strain FTMOZ unplaced genomic scaffold supercont1.461, whole genome shotgun sequence.
AUAUCAGGUCGAGGAGGGUUUAUUGGGUAAGGCAUCGAUCGUAACUCUUGUAUCGAGUGAUUGCGAUCGAUGAAUCCCACACUACCCUUGGAUGGAUGGUUGGUUUUCGGGUGUCUUUUGAAGAUUUCCCUCCUCG